rnacentral:tRNA from 1 species
CCUUGUCUAGCUCAGUUGGUAAAGCGCAAGGCUUUUAACCUUAAGGUUGUGCGUUCGAGCCCCACCGUGAGCG